rnacentral:rRNA from 1 species
UACAGAGGUCUCAAGCGUUGUUCGGAUUCAUUGGGCGUAAAGGGUGCGUAGGCGGCGCGGUAAGUCGGGUGUGAAAUCUUGGAGCUUAACUCCGAAACUGCAUUCGAUACUGCCGUGCUUGAGGACUGGAGAGGAGACUGGAAUUUACGGUGUAGCGGUGAAAUGCGUAGAUAUCGUAAGGAAGACCAGUGGCGAAGGCGGGUCUCUGGGCCGUAACUGACGCUGAGGAGCGAAAGCGUGGGGAGCGAACAGG